rnacentral:rRNA from 1 species
AUUGAACGCUGGCGGCUGGCCUCACACAUGCAAGUCGAACGAGUGGCGGACGGGUGAGUAAUGUCUGGGAAACUGCCUGAUGGAGGGGGAUAUCUACUGGAAAAGGUAGCUAAUACCGCAUAUCAUCGGAUGAGCCCAGAUGGGAUUAGCUAGUAGGUGGGGUAACGGAUCACCUAGGCGACGGUCCCUAGCUGGUCUGAGAGGAGGACCAGCCACACUGGAACUGAGACACGGUCAAGACGCCCACGGGAGGCAGCAGGGGGGAAGAUUGCACAAUGGGCGCAAGCCUGAUGCAGCCAUGCCGCGUGUAUGAAGAAGGCCUUCGGGUUGUAAAGUACUUUCAGCGGGGAGGCGUUACCCGCAGAAGAAGCACCGGCUAACUCCGUGCCAGCAGCCGCGGUAAUAC